rnacentral:rRNA from 1 species
AUACAGAGGGUGCAAGCGUUAAUCGGAAUUACUGGGCGUAAAGCGCGCGUAGGCGGCUUGGUCAGUCGGAUGUGAAAGCCCCGGGCUCAACCUGGGAACUGCAUUCGAUACUGCUAGGCUAGAGUAUGGUAGAGGGUAGUAGAAUUCCUGGUGUAGCGGUGAAAUGCGUAGAUAUCAGGAGGAAUACCAGUGGCGAAGGCGGCUACCUGGACCAAUACUGACGCUGAGGUGCGAAAGCGUGGGGAGCAAACAGGAUUAGAAACCCCAGUAGUCC